rnacentral:miRNA from 1 species
GACGUUGGGACGCUGUUGCCUGA